rnacentral:rRNA from 1 species
UACGUAGGGUGCGAGCGUUAAUCGGAAUUACUGGGCGUAAAGCGUGCGCAGGCGGUUCGUUAAGUUCGUUGUGAAAGCCCCGGGCUCAACCUGGGAACUGCAAUGGAAACUGGCGGGCUUGAGUGUGGCAGAGGGGGGUGGAAUUCCGCGUGUAGCAGUGAAAUGCGUAGAGAUGCGGAGGAACACCGAUGGCGAAGGCAGCCCCCUGGGCCGGUACUGACGCUGAGGAGCGAAAGCAUGGGGAGCGAACAGG